rnacentral:rRNA from 1 species
UACAGAGGGUGCAAGCGUUGUUCGGAAUUAUUGGGCGUAAAGCGCGUGUAGGCGGCUUGGCAAGUCGGGUGUGAAAGCCCUCAGCUCAACUGAGGAAGUGCGCCCGAAACUGCUUUGCUUGAGUGCUGGAGAGGGUCGCGGAAGUUCCCCAAGUAGAGGUGAAAUUCGUAGAUAUGGGGAGGAACACCGGUGGCGAAGGCGGCGAGCCUGGACAUGAACGUGACGCUGAGACGCGAAAGCGU